rnacentral:rRNA from 1 species
UACGAAGGGUGCUAGCGUUGUUCGGAAUUACUGGGCGUAAAGCGCGCGUAGGCGGCUUGUCAAGUCAGGGGUGAAAUCCCACAGCUUAACUGUGGAACUGCCUUUGAAACUGUCAAGCUAGAGUGUCGGAGGGGAUAGCGGAAUUGCUAAUGUAGAGGUGAAAUUCGUAGAUAUUAGCAGGAACACCGGUGGCGAAGGCGGCUAUCUGGACGACAACUGACGCUGAGGCGCGAAAGCGUGGGGAUCAAACAGG